rnacentral:rRNA from 1 species
UAGUCUCGCACAGAUGCAUAUCAAUAAGCGGAGGAAAAGAAACUAACAAGGAUUCCCCUAGUAACGGCGAGUGAAGCGGGAAGAGCUCAAAUUUGAAAUCUUAAAGGGUUUCCCUUUACGAAUUGUAGUUUAAAGAAGUGUUUUCUGUUGAGGUUUUGGUAAAAGUUCUUUGGAAUAGGACAUCAUAGAGGGUGAGAAUCCCGUAUUUGACCUUUACUUUCAACUUUGUGAUACACUUUCAAAGAGUCGGAUUGUUUGGGAAUGCAGUCCAAAAUGGGUGGUAAAUUUCAUCUAAAGCUAAAUAUUGGCGAGAGACCGAUAGCGAACAAGUACCGUGAGGGAAAGAUGAAAAGAACUUUGAAAAGAGAGUUAAACAGUACGUGAAAUUGUCAAAAGGGAAGCGUUUGACACCAGUGUUGUUUUUCUGAAAAUCAAUUAAAGAACUGUUUAUGCUAAGCUGUUUAGACUUUAUCAGCUAUCUGUUUAGUUUUGAGCUUUUCUUUAAUGCACUUUUCAGUUAACAAGUCAACAUCAAUUUCUUUUGCUGUAAAAAAGCUUGAGGAGGGUGGCUUGAGAUUCGUCUUAAGUGUUUAUAGCCUCUUGCCUAUGCAGUCGGAGAGAUUGAGGUCUGCAGCGUAGAUCCUUCGGGGCUAAAUGCAUUUGUGCUAAGUUAUAGCAUUUUAUAGACAACUUGUUGACUAUGAUUUGUCUUGUAGCUUACUCGCUUAUGUUAUUUUACCUACGCUUAGGAUGUUGAAGACUCUACAGAGAUA